rnacentral:pre_miRNA from 8 species
GUGGCAAAACCUGCAAUGCUGCUCCUGGAAGCUGAAUUCAGAUGGUGCCAUAGAGUAUUUUAUGGCAUCUAGCACCAUUUGAAAUCAGUGUUCCUGGGCCGGUCCUGACAUCCCGUGGUGCA